GGUUGUGACUCAGUGGUACAAUGCUUGCCUAGCACAUGCAAGGUGCUGGGUUCAAUACCCAGCACCA
rnacentral:tRNA from 1 species